CCUACGGGAGGCAGCAGUGGGGAAUUUUGGACAAUGGGCGAAAGCCUGAUCCAGCCACGCCGCGUGAGUGAAGAAGGCCUUCGGGUUGUAAAGCUCUUUUAGUCGGAAAGAAAGAGUUGCAAUGAAUAAUUGUGAUUUAUGACGGUACCGACAGAAGAAGCACCGGCUAACUACGUGCCAGCAGCCGCGGUAAUACGUAGGGUGCGAGCGUUAAUCGGAAUUACUGGGCGUAAAGGGUGCGCAGGCGGUCUUGCAAGUCAGAUGUGAAAGCCCCGGGCUUAACCUGGGAAUUGCGUUUGAAACUACAAGGCUAGAGUGCAGCAGAGGGGAGUGGAAUUCCAUGUGUAGCAGUGAAAUGCGUAGAGAUGUGGAAGAACACCGAUGGCGAAGGCAGCUCCCUGGGUUGACACUGACGCUCAUGCACGAAAGCGUGGGGAGCAAACAGGAUUAGAUACCCUGGUAGUCCACGCCCUAAACGAUGUCAACUAGUUGUCGGAUCUAAUUAAGGAUUUGGUAACGUAGCUAACGCGUGAAGUUGACCGCCUGGGGAGUACGGUCGCAAGAUUAAAACUCAAAGGAA
rnacentral:rRNA from 1 species